GAGAAAGUCAGUUUGAACUGGAACUCUAAGCUGCAAGGACAUGGCCUGGAGCUGUUGGUAGCCAUCUACCAUAGGGAAAGGAAAUUGUACCCUAGAAUGAAGCCAGCACCUGAGAAAUCUGAGUCAGAGGGCAAGGUCAGCCCAGUCGUGGGAACACUCCCGACAACAGAAAGCGUCUGGGGAGCCAGGAAUGGAGCCCUUUUCACUGAUCUGCUGGAGUCUUCACUGUAGCAGCACCGCUUACAUUGUCCUUCUGCUUCCUCGGCCUUCCCACCUCCUGUGCUCAAGACCACAGUAUGAGGCAUGUGCAGAAGAUCCAGUUCACAAAACUCCAUCAUAGAAAUGAGCCCAGAAGAGCAGACAGUUGGAUGUGCUUAGUGUCACCUUCUGGCUUUCCUAUUAAAUAGAAUCUGAGUAACAGACAAAGGAAACAAAAGUGAAAGACAUCAGAGAAGCCCAAAGGAACUACUUGAUGGAACAAACAAAUAAAAACAUGGGGCAAGAAGUAAUGGGAAGAAAGGCGGAAGAGUCGUACAGGCUGGGUUUCCAGGAAGGACCUCAGGAAUAGCUGGAGUUUCUGUGUAUAGGGUGAUGUAUACAGACAGUUUUAAAGAUGAUUUCCAUGAUAUGAAGAGUGUCUAGA